CCUACGGGAGGCAGCAGUGGGGAAUAUUGGGCAAUGGGCGCAAGCCUGACCCAGCAACGCCGCGUGAAGGAUGAAGGUUUUCGGAUUGUAAACUUCUGUCGCGAGGGACGAAGAAUGACGGUACCUCGUAAGAAAGCCCCGGCUAACUACGUGCCAGCAGCCGCGGUAAUACGUAGGGGGCAAGCGUUGUCCGGAUUUACUGGGUGUAAAGGGAGAGUAGGUGGCAGAGCAAGUCCGAAGUGAAAACCCAAAGCUCAACUAUGGGAAUGCUUUAGAAACUGCUCAGCUAGAGUGCAGGAGAGGCAAGUGGAAUUCUUAGUGUAGCGGUGAAAUGCGUAGAUAUUAGGAGGAACACCAGUGGCGAAGGCGGCUUGCUGGACUGUAACUGACACUGAGGCUCGAAAGCGUGGGGAGCAAACAGGAUUAGAUACCCGUGUAGUC
rnacentral:rRNA from 1 species